rnacentral:rRNA from 1 species
UACGUAGGGUGCGAGCGUUAAUCGGAAUUACUGGGCGUAAAGCGUGCGCAGGCGGUUUGCUAAGACCGGUGUGAAUUCCCCGGGCUUAACCUGGGAACUGCGCUUGUAACUGGCAAGCUAGAGUGUGGCAGAGGGGGGUGGAAUUCCACGUGUAGCAGUGAAAUGCGUAGAGAUGUGGAGGAACACCGAUGGCGAAGGCAGCCCCCUGGGCUAACACUGACGCUCAUGCACGAAAGCGUGGGGAGCAAACAGG